rnacentral:rRNA from 1 species
AUCGGACGCUGGCGGCAUGCCUUACACAUGCAAGUCGAACGGUAACGGGCCUUCGGGUGCCGACGAGUGGCGAACGGGUGAGUAAUAUAUCGGAACGUACCUUUCAGUGGGGGAUAACGUAGCGAAAGUUACGCUAAUACCGCAUAUUCUGUGCGCAGGAAAGCAGGGGACCUUCGGGCCUUGCGCUGAUUGAGCGGCCGAUAUCAGAUUAGCUAGUUGGUGAGGUAAAGGCUCACCAAGGCGACGAUCUGUAGGCGGUCUGAGAGGAUGAUCCGCCACACUGGAACGGAGCCACGGUCCAGACUCCUACGGGAGGCAGCAGUAGGGAAUUGUGGACAAUGGGGGCAACCCUGAUCCAGCCAUGCCGCGUGAGUGAAGAAGGCCUUCGGGUUGUAAAGCUCUUUCGGCCGGGAAGAAAUCGUAUGGGCUAAUACCCUGUGCGGAUGACGGUACCGGCAUAAGAAGCACCGGCUAACUACGUGCCAGCCGCCGCCGUAAUAC